UGGGGAAUAUUGCACAAUGGGCGCAAGCCUGAUGCAGCCAUGCCGCGUGUAUGAAGAAGGCCUUCGGGUUGUAAAGUACUUUCAGCGGGGAGGAAGGCGAUGCGGUUAAUAACCGCGUCGAUUGACGUUACACGCAGAAGAAGCACCGGCUAACUCCGUGCCAGCAGCCGCGGUAAUACGGAGGGUGCAAGCGUUAAUCGGAAUUACUGGGCGUAAAGCGCACGCAGGCGGUCUGUCAAGUCGGAUGUGAAAUCCCCGGGCUCAACCUGGGAACUGCAUCCGAAACUGGCAGGCUUGAGUCUCGUAGAGGGGGGUAGAAUUCCAGGUGUAGCGGUGAAAUGCGUAGAGAUCUGGAGGAAUACCGGUGGCGAAGGCGGCCCCCUGGACGAAGACUGACGCUCAGGUGCGAAAGCGUGGGGAGCAAACA
rnacentral:rRNA from 1 species